GAGGGUGUAGCUCAGAGGUAGAGUGACUUCUUAGCAUGCAAAAUGUUCUGGGUUCAAUCCCCAGUACCUCCA
rnacentral:tRNA from 1 species